GGAGAGGUGGCCGAGUGGUCGAAGGCGGCUCCCUGCUAAGGAGUUGAGGGAGUUUUCCUCCCUCCGAGGGUUCGAAUCCCUCCCUCUCCGCCA
rnacentral:tRNA from 1 species